UCCUCGGAGGACUAGUGGUUAGGCCUCAGCUCUCUCACCGCUGUAGUACGGGUUCGAUUCUCAACCAGGGAA